AGACUCUCUCCUCUGAGCAACAGGCAAACAGACAUGGCUCAAUGCAAGGGAACAUGGCAUAUAAAAGUCAAUAGCAGCUUCCUUGGAGACUCCGGUAUCUUUCAGGAUUAUUUUGCUGUGGCUUGCUGCACUUAGCUGUUAAAAUCAAGGGAACAUGGUGAACUGUACAUCAAAUAAGAAAAAAAAAAAACAACAAA